rnacentral:rRNA from 1 species
UGAACGCUAGCGACAGGCUUAACACAUGCAAGUCGAGGGGUAACAGGGUAGCAAUACCGCUGACGACCGGCGCACGGGUGAGUAACGCGUAUGCAACCUGCCUAUAACUGGGGAAUAGCUCCCUGAAAGGGGAAUUAACACCGCAUAACACUAUUGAUUCGCAUGGAUUGGUAGUUAAAUGUAGCGAUACAGGUUAUAGAUGGGCAUGCGUGACAUUAGCUAGUUGGUGAGGUAACGGCUCACCAAGGCUACGAUGUCUAGGGGUUCUGAGAGGAAGGUCCCCCACACUGGUACUGAGACACGGACCAGACUCCUACGGGAGGCAGCAGUGAGGAAUAUUGGUCAAUGGGCGCAAGCCUGAACCAGCCAUGUCGCGUGCAGGAAGACUGCCCUAUGGGUUGUAAACUGCUUUUAUAGUAGAAGAAACACAUCUACGCGUAGAUGUCUGCCAGUAUACUAUGAAUAAGCAUCGGCUAACUCCGUG